rnacentral:lncRNA from 1 species
CAGUGUCAUCAUUUUGAGAUCUAUCCUUACCGUUUUAUUUCAGUGGACUUACAGAUGCUUCUUGAUUUAUGAUGGCAUUGUCCCAAUAAACCUGUCGUAAGCUGAAAUAUCAUAAGUUAAAAAAAUGCACUUAAGACCCCUAACCUACUGAACACCAAAGCUUAGCCUGGCCUACGUUAAACAUGCUCAGAACACAUACAUUAGUCUACAGUUGGGCAAAAUUAUCAAGCAACAUGGUGCACUGGAGAGUAUUCAUUGUUUACCUUUGUGAUUGUGUGGCUGACUGGGAGCUGUGCUCAUAGCUACUGACCAUCAUCUUGAGAGAGCAUCAUACCACAUAUCACCAGCCCAGGUAAAGAGCAAAAUUCCAAAUUUGAAGUGUGGUUUUUACAGAAUGUAUAUCAGUUUUGAACCAUUAUAAAGUCAAAAAAUUAUGAAUCAAACCAUCAUAAGAUUGGCACUGUUCAUAUAUACCUAGAUAAAUACAUGGUGAUUUUUCUAACUUCUGAUAUUUACAGAGGCAAUUGCCACUGGGUGAAAGCUCAAUAUCACGUACUCUAUUUUGCAGAAUGAAGGAAAAAAUUCAUUGUCAAUUUGCAUUGCCAGAAUGGGAUACUGAAACCGAGACCUAAUUGCAUAAUGGUUAAGAGCUUGACUUCUGUAGUAAUAAAAUGUAACAUUUAUAAAGUAUUUUCUCUGUUCUAAGCACUUUCUAUGUACAGUACUAGCUGUCUUAGUUUGUUUGCUGCUGCUAUAAAAGAUAUGCCCACAGACUAGGUAAUUUAUGAAGAACAGAGAUUUGUUUAGCUCAUGGUUCUGGAGGCUGGGAAGUCAAAGAGCAUGGUACAGGCAUCUGGAGAGGCACAUCGAAAAGGUGGGUGGAUGGGUGAAAGGUGGAAGUGAGCACAGGAGACAGAGAGGGAAUGUAGGCUGAACUGAAUCCUUUUAUUAGGAACACACUCCUGUCAUGAUGGCAUUAAUCCCUUAAUGAGAGCAAAGACCUCAUGAUCUAAUCAUCUCUUAAAGGCCCCACCUCUAAAUACCAUUACAUUAGCAAUUCAAUUUCAACAUGAGUUUUGGAGGGGAUAUUUAAAGCAUAAUAUUAUCCAUCUAUUUUUUGUAACAAGCAGUGAGGCGGGAGUGAUGACUAUUGUUUCCAUCUUACAGAUGAGGACAUGGAGCAUAAAGAGAUCAAGUAACUUGCUCAAGAUCACGUAGCUACUAAGCAGAAGAGCUGGGAUGUCAGCAUGGCUGCCUGUCAGGGCCGUGCUCUUAACUGCUGUGGUACACUGGCUUUCCAUGGCUAGAAUAUGAGCUUCAUGAUGGGGAGGAGUGCUGUUCACUGUUCCAUUCCCAGGGUCUAACACAGAUGCUCAAUGAAUACUUAUUUUAUUUUAGAGAUGGAGUUUCACUCUUGUCGCCCAGGCUGGAGUGCAAUGGCACGACCUUGGCUCACUGCAACCUCCACCUCCCAGAUUCAAGCGAUUCUCCCACCUCAGCCUCCUGAGUAGCUGGGAUUACAUGCAUGUGCCACCACGCCUGGCUAAUUUUGUAUUUCUAGUAGAGAUGGGGUUUCACCAUGUUGGCCAGGCUGGUCUUGAACUCCUGACCCUAGGUGAUCCACCCGCCUUGGCCUCCCAAAGUGUUGGGACCACAGGCACAAGCGACUGUGCCUGGCCAAUAAAUACUUAUUGAGUAGAGGAAUCAGGUUUGAAUACUGGUCUGUCUCUUAAGAGAUGUAAGAGCUUAGGGACUUUUAAAAACUACUCUGAGUAACUUGCUCAAUCCAGGGGCAAGCUCUGUCAUCUUUCCCUUCAAAAGAUAUUUUGAAUCCACUUCUCACCAUGCCCACCACUGUUGUCUUGGGCCAAGCUACCAUCAUUCCUCACCAGGACUUUUGCUGUGACCUCUUACAAGUAGUUUUUCUAUUUCGACACUUGCUGUAGCUAUCUUUAUCCAGCAGUCAGGUGAUCUCGUAGAACAUAACACAGACCAGAUCUCUCCUGUACUCAAAUCUUCCGAUAAUUUCUUAUCACACUUGGAAUAACACACAGGCUUGCAGGGUCUUACAUGGCCCCAGCUCUAUCUUCCCAAUCCCCCCGACUCCUUUGCUCAUGUUCUUCAGUGACACAGGGCUUUUCCUUGAACACUGUCUACCUUGGUCUCAGAGCCUUUGCACACUGUAUACAUUGACGUAUGUUGCUGUGAGUGUGAAGGCAGUGGCAAAGCCCACACUAGGCUGUUAACACAAGUAACUGGGUUGAAGUGGAGAGGAGUAGGGAGGAUUAUCAAUGUUUUCUCCACAGGCCAAUGUGUUUUACAAAUCAUGCCUUAAUUUUGUAGUUUUAAAAAGGAAUUUAAUAAAGAAAGGGGAUAAGCCCUUUUAAUAGCUUUAUCCUCCCUUAACUAUGAGCACACAUCUCUUCCUCCUUUGUAGGCAAGCUCCUGGCUUUCUGUCUUAUCUCUCAGUCACCCCAAAGCCCAUGGCAGCCUGGUUUCUAAGCCCCUCUGCUGCCCUUGCAGCCUGACCACCAACCUCUUUGUUGAUAAGACCAACCACCCUUUUCCGGUUAGCUUUCCAGACUUCUCAGCUGAAUUAAAUACUGUUGACCGCUCUAUUCUUCUUUUUAUUUUUUAUUUUUUAAAUUUUAAAUGUGGCAAAAUACACAUAACAAAAUUUACCAUUCUACCAAUUUUUUAAGUAUAUAGUACAGUAGUGUUAAGUACAUUCACAUUGUUGUACAACCAUCUCCACCAUCCAUCUCUAGAACUCUUUUCAUCUUGCAAAACGGAAACUCUGUCCCUAAUAAACAACGACUUCCCAUUCUCCCUCCUCCCAGCCCCUGGAAACCACCAUUCUUUUUUCUGUCUCUGAUAUAGCUUGAAUAUUUAUUCCUGCCCAAAUCUCACGUUGAAUUGUAAUCCCCAAAUGCUGCAGGUGGGGCCUGGUAGGAGGUGAUAGGAUCAUGGGGGUGGAUCUUUUAUGAAUGGCGUGGGUCAUCCUUUUGGUGAUGAGUGGGCUCUUGCUCUGAGUUCACAUGAGAUCUGAUUGUUUAAAAGUGUGUGGCUCCUCCCCCGCCACUCUUUCUCUCACUUGCUCCAGCCUUCGCCAUGUGCCAUGCCUGCUCCCCACUUGCCUUCUGUCACGAUCGGAAGCUUCCUGAGGCCUCCCUAGAAGCCGAGCAGAUGCAGCCCCACGCUUCGUGUCCGGCCUGCAGAACUAAGGAAACCGAAGCACAGCAUGACUAGUGAACUCAGCCCAAUUCACACAGAAGGCGAGAGCUGAGAUUGAAACUCAGGCAGUCUGUGUGCAGGGCCUCUGUUCUUCACCAGCAAGUUCUUCUUUCACUUGGAGUUCAUAUCUACAGCCCAGUGUUCUUUCUCACCUGCAGGAGACCGUAUCGGCCACACUCUAAUAGAUGCCAGGGAGCUCCCCGCAGGGCUGUUGUCAACAAAAGGUUCUAACCUGUGCUUACUAAAUAAGACUCCUAAAUGAUAUUUUUUGUGAAGUUAUUGUAUGUUAUGGGUUGAAUUGUGUCUUCUGCAAAAGAUAUAUUGAAUUCCUAACCCACAGCUCCUCAGAAUCUGGUCUUAUUUGGAAAUAGACUAAUUGCAGAUGUAAUUAGCUAGAGACUAUACUAGUGUAUAGGGUAGGCCCCUAAUCUGAUAUGACUGUUGUCCUUAUAGAAACACAGCCAUGUGAAGAUGAAGGCAGAGACUGGAAAAAGUGUGAAGGCAGAGUUUAUCCUGAUUGGAUUAGGAAUAAAUAGAGUCCUAUAAACCAAGGAAUGUCAAGGAUUGCUGGCCAUCCCUGGAAGCUAGGACGCUGGGACAGGUUCUCCCUCAGAGCCUCUGGAAGGAACUAACCCUGUAAAACACCUUGAUUUUGGAACUUUGGCCUUCAAAACUGAGGGAAUAAAUUUUUGGUAUUUUAAGCCACCCAGUUUGUGGUACAAGCAUACCUCAAAGACUUGCAAGUUCAGUGCCAUACCACCACAUUAAAGCAAAUAUUGCAAUAAAGUGAGUCAUACAAUUUUUUUGGUUUCCCAGUGCAUAUAACAGUUAUGUUUAUACUACGGUACAGUCUAUUAAAUGUGCAAUAGCAUUAUGUCUAAAAACAGUAUAUAUGUUAAUUAAGAGAUAUUUUAUUGCUAAAAAUGCUGAUCAUCAGAGCCUUCAGUGAGUCAUAACCUUUUUGCUAGUGGAGAGUCUUGCCUCAGUGUUCAUGGCUACUGACUGACGAGGGUGGUAGUGGCUGAAGACUGGGGUGGAUGUGGCAAUUUUUAAAAAUAAUGCAACAAUAAAGUUUGCUGCAUUGAAUGACUCUUCCUGUGAUAUUUCUCUGUGAUAUGCUGUAUUAGUUUAUC